rnacentral:lncRNA from 1 species
GUUUAAAUGCUGAAUGAGUUAUGUCUAAGUAGUGAGGUGGCAACAUAUUGGCCACUCAGGCCGGCAAGAAAGAAUGUAAUUAUUUGAGUACCCUCGAAAUAAGUUGUCUUAUCAUCAAUAUAAAUUAUUUG